CGCGAGACUUUGGUCCCGGGUGGAGGUGGCGCGAUUCGCGCGCUGAGGGAGGAGCCGCCUCUCCGCACGGAGGCCGCCUGGGGGAGUCCGCGAUGCUGCUCCUGAGAGAGAGGCCAGCCUCCCUUUUUAAUGCUUAGCAGUUUGUUUUCAGGCCAAAUCAUAAGAAGUGUUGCUCUCAAAAGUGCCGUCUCCUCAGCCUUUGGUUGCAAAGACUUGUCCCUCCCUCCCUCACCUGAACAGCGAGGUACUGUGGCUGGCACAAGCGUGAACCUGCUGCCUUGGGCAGCAGCUGUGCCUGGCCAAGGGAAACAGCUGUAAUUACAACCUGGGACGGGAUAAUCACUGUGCACGGUGAGGAUGGACGGAUUCUUGCCACCUACAACUGCAGGCACACAGGCGGCUCCGAAGCCUGCCUUGUUUUGGAGGACAGUGGGCCAUGAUCUUGAAGAGAGUCCCCGAUCUUGUAUGAUGAAAUCUCAGGUCUUACCGUACUUAUUUAGGUGUUUGUGAGCUGGCAAAUGCCCUGCCUGCCUGUGUGUCACUAUUGCCACUGGCUGUGUGUCCCACAUAGGCACAGUGCCCGAUGCUGCAGUGCAGAACUUGCCGUGGCUCUGGAGCACACAGGGACAGCCAGGCCCUGGCACUGUGCUGGGGUGUGCUGUAGCCAACCACAGAGAAAAUGUGCUUGGUACCUGGUCAAUAGGGGCAGGUGUUUCCUACACCUCUCCAUAGAAAAGCAGGGCCUUCAGUCCAGAAAGUCCUUAAGGCCCCUUCAGUGUUCCUGAGUGGUCAUGAUGCAGUGCACCUGAACAGUCUUGGCCAUUCAUAUUUGGUGACUGGACACUGACAUUUUGGGCAAAGACCUGGCCACUGUGGGUUGUCACAACGGUCUCUCAUUAGGGCGAUCAGAUGAGAAUCCAAAUUUGUCCAAAUGAGUUUGGGAAGGAUUUGGAUAAAAAAGGAUGUUCUAAAGGGAUCUAUGAGAAAAGCAGAAAUGUAGGAGCAAUUUCUUAGAGGAUCUGCUACUGCAUUUUUGUUGCUGUCAUAAGUAUAAGCUAGGAAAUAGCUGUGAACUGGUAAACAGGUGGAAUAAUUGACACAGUGUGCAAAUAGAGGAGUGUAUUUUCUCUCUUGAUAACACCAGCACUACUGUUUUUUUUUCUGAGGCUGUUGACACUUUAACACUGGCUUGCCUAGACAGUUCUGUGUGUGGCUUGUGGUUUGUAUAAAGUCCAGAAGAUUUUCUGGGAUAUGCUGGUCAACAUGCAAUUGUAGCAGAUGGGAAGAUAACUGUAAAAGCAAGCCUAUGGUGGCUGUGUUGUUGCAUCCUGUUUAAAUUGGCAUGACUUGCAGUUUGCUCCUGGGUAAUGACUUCAGAGAACCUUUUAUGCAGCAGAUCUGUGAAACUUGUAGGCAAAGCAAACCUUCCUGUUUCAUUUUAGUGCUCUAGCACAUUCCAAUUAUGAAUCUGCACAUCAUUCACCAGAUGGCGAAAUAAUGAUAUAACUUCAAAUAUGUUUUCAGAAUUAAGGAACACUGUUCCCAGUUCUGCUUAGAGAAGGCUGAGGAAAAUGUGUACUCUUUAGGUACACUGAACCAUUGACAAGAACUGUUUCACUUGAAAUAACCAGUGUCUCGUGGCUCUUCAGCCCAGCUGCUACUCCUAGCACAAAAUCCUCCUCAAAAAAAGAAAGAACCUCUUUUGAAGUCUCUUUACCCUGUUUGUUAGACAAGGCUGCUGAAGCUGAGCACCUCUAGAGAAGAGGUUUAACAUAGCAACAUAAAAGUCAAGGUGAUAGAAAAUUCGCAUGUGUUUUUUCUAAGAACAGAAAGUAAAAAAAAUAUAAUUCUCUUGCCAUCAUGUCUACAGUCAAAAUAUUUUAAUAAUGUUACCUUUUUUACUUUCCAAGCUGUGUAAUUUGUAGAUUUUUGAACAGAGUUCCUCAACACCAGUGCAUUAUAUUUUUGUGUUGAAGUCCAUGGCUUAGAAGUUCCUUGUUUAUGCAGAGAUUGAGUGCAAGUGGUUUAGCAGUACCAGUAUGAUCCCGAACUACAGAUUUAUUGGUAUGGGAAAGGCGGGAGAUCCUCUUGGAGCAAUCUCUACUCAAAGCAGGGUCACUACUGAAAUACAACCACAUCAUUCAGGACUGUUGCCGUGCGUGCAGUGGUGAGUUGCUGCUACCUUCUGAAAGCGUCUCCAACCGAAGGUGUUUGGAUAGGCAGACAAGCACACAAUCCUACACACAGCAGCCACGGAUAGCGGUGUGGGGGCUGAAGAAUCAGCCAGCAGAAGGACUGUGGCGUUCCCCUGGGGAGCUUCUCCAUAGGAGAGGCACUUCCUCUUACAGUGAGAAAGUGUUUCUCUAUAUUUCUCUAAAGACUGUCCCGAGAAACCUUUCUUUCAAGAUCAGCAGUAUCACCCAUCCAACUACCAAUGUCUCCCGAGGCAGAAUGGGCACCAACAGCAUCCAGGAAACUUCCAGCAGAGUGCAGGAUGGCCUCGCGCUACGACAGCAAAUCAAAUGCCACCACACUUUGCGAGGCCCACUGUCCCACCUCGGAGACCUACCAACAACCUACCAAGGAAGUGGACUGUGGAGAGCUCCAGAAACCCAACACAUGGAGUGAUUCAGGCGGGAACCUGGCGCCAACUGGUAACCAAAUUGUCUAUUUCAAAGUUAUUGACUCUGUAUACAAAGUUCACACAGGAAAAUGGGGACCUCUGGGAAGCCCUUCCAACAUUUUAAUCCUUGGAGACACCUUUCAUGGCCCAAAACAAGUUUAUGUUAUCUCAGAAGUACAAACUAUCAAUCCAGGCAAGGAAAUAAUUUGUCCAACUUUCAUAUACUGACUUGCCAUUUUUUCUCCCAAAAGAAACUCCUAUUGUGCAAGCCUUUUGGUACCACCUAACUGCCUGGAACAGGUUCCUCUCAACCCUACCACCAUGUGGGCGCAGGUUGUGGGCUCCAGGAAGCCAAUCAUAGAGUGUGAUCUGUUCUGUAAAGGGGAAAAGAUCUAUUGCCCAGGUACGCUGGACACCGGAGCUGAUGUUACCAUCAUUGUUCACUCCGAGUGGCCUGCCAUUUGGGAACUCCAGCCUGUGGUGGGGAUGAUCUCAGGGAUUGGAAGGGUAGCAGUCUCCAUGCGGACCAAAUGAAAUGUCAUCAUAGAGGGUCCUGAGGGAAAGAUGGCGACCAUCACACCAUUUGUAGUAAGAGCUCCAAUAACACUAUGGGGGAGGGAUGUUCUAUCACAACGGGAGGCAAUCUUAAAAAUCCACAGUCGGGAUUUUUAGUGGGGGCUGCUGAAGUGUGCAUGACACCUAACAUCCCCAAACUCACCUGGAAACAACACCAUCCAGAGUGGGUUGAUCAGUGGCCCCUGUCAGACACCAAGUUACACGCACUUGAAGCCCUUGUAGAGGAACAACUUGCCAAGGGACACAUCACAGAGACCAAUAGUCCCUGGAACUCCCUGUCUUUGUUUUGAAGAAACCAGGUAAGGACAGGUGGAGGCUCCUCCAUGACCUUAAGAAAAUCAACAAUGUGAUAGAAUAUAUGGGUCCCCUCCAGCCAGGCAUGCCCUCACCCUCUAUGCUCCCUAGAGACUGGAAACUGGCCAUUAUCAAUAUCAAAGACUGUUUCUUUAACAUACCCCUCCAUCCCUUAGAUGCUUCAAGAUUCAUGUUCUCCGUCCCCUCCCUGAACAGACAGGCCCUUCUAAAAAGGUAUUGGCUCAUACUUCCCCAAGGGAUGAAAAAUUCCCCAAGUAUCUGCCAGUGUACAUUGCCCACAUCCUGUCCCCUGUGAGAGCCCUGUUCCUGGACUCCAUCAUAUUACAUUACAUGGACAAUAUCCUUAUUUGUGUGCAAGAUGACAAUUCUCUUCACUGGACUCUACAUAAGACAAUAAAAGCAAUUGAGGAUGCUGGGUUUGAAGUUUUUGAAGACAAUAUCCAGCACACCUGCCCUUGGGACUCCUGAUCCAUGAGCAGAUGGUCAUACCCCAACAGCUCACCAUCCAGGAUGACCUGAAGACCCUGCAGGAUCUACACCAGCUCUGUGGGUCCAUCAUCUGGGUAUGUCCCCUGCUUGGGAUCAUGACGGAAGUCCUCACGCCACUCUUCAGUCUGCUUCGUGGCAGCGAGGACCUUGGCUCACCACGUGCCUUCACGCUGGAGGCCCAAGAUGCCAUCGUCAAGGUCCAGGAGGCCCUGUCUUCACGACAAGCCCUUAGCUACAAACCCAGCUUGCCCUUCCAGCUUGCUAUCCUUGAACAUGGAAAGCAAAACCAUCCUCGAAUUCCCAAACCUCUGGAUGCUCCUGAAAACAUCGGUUGUGGAUGCCUGGCUGGUAGCACAGCCCAGACAAAAUGUGUAGAUCAACCCUCAUGAAGACCCUCAAACAAGAUCGUAUGUGCUUGUCCAUGGGCAGCACCACCAACCCUUUGUCAUCAUGCCUUGUGGAGGUUCCUUUGAAGCCCCAUGAAUAUCCAUUCAUGGGGAAAGAACCUAACCUGGUGGACACUUGGGAUGAGUGGACAAGGAUUUACCCCAUGCACCAGAGGAACCCCAAGAAUUGGAGCUUUUGGGGUCCUCCAAGGCCACUUACUGUGUAAAUUUUGACUACUGCCCAGUAGGCAAGGCAUGGCCUGCCUCUGAACAUUACAGGGUGAUCCAGACAAAGAAAAAUGUCUUGCCAAACAGUAAAAUUUAUAAUCAAUUUAGGUGGUGCAAUUACACCAGCAGCACAGGAUCCGCCUCCUCUUGUCGUCCCAGAAUGCCACCAAAAUGGGAGUGUUCUUAGUCUGUAGGGAUGGAGUGGGCAGGAAUCCCUUCGCGACUCCAGGGAGGUCCAUGCACUCUUGGACAGCUUACCAUCCUCACUCCAAGCUCAACCCUGUUUUCCGAUUGGCAGAAAAAGAAUGAAUUGGCCUGUUGAAAGAGAGGACUCACCCAAUUAGAGGAAAAUUGCGAUAGCCAAAUUGAAGAUCGGUCCUACACAAAGAGGGUGGUGAUGUCGGCCUUUUUACCUUGGGUAGCUGCUGCUAAAGCCCUCAGUGAGCUUUCUCACCUGGAGUGUUGGCUUGGUAAGCAGGCCAGCCUGACCUCCUCUGUAUUGAGUAACCUUCUGGCUGAUGAAGAGACGGUCAGGCAUGUGACACUUCAAAACCAUGCUGCCAUAGACUUCCUGCUCCUUGCCCAUGGGCACAGCUGUGAGGAAACUGAUGGGCUGUGCCGCUUCAACCUAGCAAGUCACAGCAAAGGCAUCCACACUCGCAUCCAAAGACUUCAAAAUGCAGUUCAGGAACUCAAGACCGAAAAGGAGCCCCAAUGGUUUGAGAACCUUUUUGGAAGUUGAGGACUCGAGGGAUGGGUUGCCUCCCUCCUGAGGAGCACUUUUUGGAUUCUUUUAAUUAUCAUAAUUUUUCUAUGUAUGUUCAGCUGUUGCAAAAGUUUGAUAGCAGUCUCUGGGAGAGGCCUUUUUAAUAAAUAAAGAAUCAGCCAGUGGAAGGACUGUGGCAUUCCCCUGGAGAGCUUCUCCACAGGCUAGGCGCUUUCUCUUAUAGUGAGAAAGUGUCCCUCCCAGAGACCUCUACAAGUUGUAUGUUGAUUUAUUGUAUCCUAUUGGUUUUCUUCCCCCUCACUCUACCCUAUUACUUGUAUCCCAGUUUCCCCCCACCCCUCUCUUUCCCUAUAUAAACCCCAGUGUUUCUCCUGUUGAGUGAGAGCUGCUGUCAGUGGCUCCCUUUGCAGAGGGCCCUUCUCUUAAUAAAGACCUGUUCUCUGUGGAAUGCCACACAGUGCUCUAGUCCCUCUCUGCAUCGCCGGAGAGCUGCCGCUGAGCCUGAGCUGACAAUCACUUGCCAGGCUAGGGAUGUGCCUGUGCCCCAGGGCUGUCUCUAAAGGUGCUUCUUCAGGGAGGUCGUGGCACCCCUGCCAUCCAUUCUGCCACAGCACAGCAGGGUGAGACUGAUGGGUGAAAAGACAAGAAGGGUUUUUGUAUGGAGUUCCAGUGGCAUUUAUUGCAGCCACACACUGCAGGAGUCCAGGGACAAAGAGAAGGAAAAGCUGAGCACUCAGGAUUAUAUAUGGGUAAAGAAGGGUGGAUCAGAGGGCCAGGUUCCAAUGGGUGUAGUGUAAAGUGGUGCAUAAGAGGGGUCAGGGAGAGGGAGAACCAGUGGGAUAACGGGAGGAGGAUUGCACCAAACUGGGGCCAAUGGGGAAACAGGGAAGGGAGAACUUUCUAGGGGAAGGACUUAAAAGGUAAAAGGGGAGGGACAGCCAACAGGCCAACUGGGAAUAUAGAACUAAGGUGCCUUAAAAUGGCUGUGCAAAGAACUUGGGGGAACACUUUUUUGUUUAUGUUUUCACAUGGGGGAAAGCCUUUUCUUUCAUACAUUCACCUUAUACUGCAGACACUUCCUUCCACGCCAUUUCUGCCCUGGGCUCUGGAGCCUCCACACAGGACUUUCUUCAGCCUAGCGUCAAAAGGCCCUUAGGAUGAAGAUUACACAGCCUGCAUAGAAAAGCUUUUCCACACUUUAAUUAACCUCCUAGCUGUUGUAGUAUGUUUAUUCAGUUCUGUUAAAAUUGUUGGUGUUUUGUCUGUUUGGUAUGUUCCUGGUUUCCCUCCAUUUACUGCUUUGGUUGGUUCCAGUUGUCAUGUAAACCCUCCCAGUUUUCUUGAAUAUUCCCCAUCAAUCACCUUUACCCUGCCCCAUCUCCCCAUCCAUCACUGUAAACCCCACCUCUCCUUCCAGCUCCUUCCAUGUAUAUCAUCCCUUCCUCAACAUGUUAUUGGUUGUUAUGUUGUAUUCCCACCUUCUUUGUAUCCCCAUUGGUCCCUGAUACUGUGACCUCCUCCCCUUACCCCUCCCUCUGUGAGCUCCCAUUGGACCCUGGACUGUACCCACCCCUGAGAUAAAACCCAGUUCGCAGAGGUGCUCUGGGCUCUCUUUGGUCCUGAAUUCUCCCAGCAUAGACCCUUGUGUUCAGCCCCUCUCCCGAAUAAACCUGUUCCUGGGAAGUACAGCCGAGAGAGUCUCCUCCAUCCUUUUGCCAUCACCCACGAUGCCUGAUUUGGCAGAGCCUGGCAGGAUUCGGUGCUCUGAACGUUCUGCAGUGGGAUCGCCUUUCCCCCGGAGUUCCACACUCCUGGCCGGCUGCCCAUGCUGGAGUGGCACCGUAGAGCUAGCCCGGAGCUCCAGUGCGUCCAAGAUGCGUCACCUAGUGGUUUUCUUUCUCCUUUUUUAUUCAUUUGAAUGUGACUUUAUUUGUAUGGUACCUUCAUGAAUAAAAAAAUUCGAAUUCCAGUUAAAAUUUAUUGAGUAACAACAGUGUGAUCUGUAACUAUAACUAACAGUUGCAGAACUGUAGAUGAUGCAGCCAGGGUUGUUUGAGUGGAGACUCCAAGUGGAGUCUGUUUCUACUUUUUCUUAAUAGAAUCAAAAUGUGGGUUCCAAAUGCUGUGUAGCACUCUGGUUUCUACAAAGCUGCUAAGCUUCUCUUGUAUGUUUGCAUGCAUGUGUGUCUCCAUACACAUCACUGAUUCCAGGGCCUCUGCUGCCAUUCUGGGCCUGUAUUUCUGCAUUUCCUGUCCACACAAUGACUACUUGUUACUACAGCGUGGGUCAAAUCUGGUUUUCAGCACAGAGAUAAAAGUAAAUGAAAUUUGGCAAGGCUACCUCGUAAGAAAAAUUGAUGCUACAUCUAAACAAAUUAAGACAGAGUUCCAGACAAGCCUUUGUGAGUUCAAGCAAAACAAAUCUGACAUCCCUCAGUCCUGAGGCUUUGAAAGCCUGUGGCUCUUUGUUAAUAAUGGCAAUUCUGUAUUUACUGGCCUGCAGGCCAGCAUCCUGUAUUUCUAGGUCAUUGCGGCAAUAACAACUCUAUGGAUCAAAAAUAUUGGAGUUAUAGGCAGUAGUCGAUGUUAUUAAACUCAGUUCCCAAAGGAUAUUUUUCCUGCCUAAUUUCUUGUGAGCUACACAAGCCUAACAAGGUGGUUUUUUGUUAAGAGUUUUGGAAGCCUCAGGCCAAAAAACUUUAAUUACUGAGGUAAAGAAAUAACCACACUAGAGCAGCUUUGAAGUACAAAUGACAACACUACUGGGUAAAAUUUUAUUUUCAUGGUGGCAGUUCAACAGUUGUCUUCAUAUUCACAUCAACAGUGUGGUGUAAGAAAGUAUCUUUAGAAAGAAGGCAACAGAAGGAGGCGAGGCUGGCAGGAUCCUGGCUGUUACUGCUAGAAUGGUGUCUGAUGCAGAUGUGGACUGCUUUGAGUAAAGGCUUUUGCAAAAAGGGGAAAGUAUACUGAGAAGAGAUUUGAGUAAAAUUCUUCUGAUACAUUUUGUGAGGAAGCUGCCUAAGGAAGUGAUUGAUUUAGAGAUGGAUCAAGUCAUAAAUCUUCAUCCAUCAAGGAUAGGCAUGAAGUAGUUCUACUGAAGACAACUGUCAGGGAUUUCCUGGAAGAAGGAGACGGGGGAAUUUGAGAGAGGAGGUCCACAACCGGGAGUCCUAGUGAGAAUCUGAGAAGACAGUUAUUAAGGGAAGGGAAAAAUCAACUGGAAACCUGUGGAGGCCCAGGGGUCUGCCACCAGGGUGGUCAUACCUCAGCCCUGGAGGGGAAGAGGCAAAAGGGAAGAGACGCCCCUCUAGAACAGAGGAAGAAAAGGCCUCCCUCCCAUGGGCUUUUUGCAGCCACAUGUUGGUGCCUUUUGGUUUUUGUUGUUCUGAAAGUGUGUGGGGAUUGAUGUCACCCUUGUUCAGCUCCCAUUUGCCAUUUAUGUGCCCUUCCUAGAACGUUCUUCCUUCCCUUAACCCCCAUUGGCUCAUGUUUUGCUGCAUUGUUCCACCCGUGUUAUCCCCUUGGUUCUCCAGGUCUUCAGGCACUCUCCUGCACCACUUUCCCUUGGACCUCAAGCCUCAGAUCCAGCCCUUUUGCCCCUCAUUUAACCCUGUUUCCUUAGCCCGGUCCUGGGUUCUGGUCCCUGAAUUCAUUCAAGGCUGUGUUCUUUAAUAAACCAGUUGUCAGAUUACCAAACAAGAAGCCAUCCCUUUGCCUCUAUCACCAGCAAUCUUCAGCGGUGCUCUCUGGGCCCGAGAACGCGGGUCGCUCUCUGGGAUCUCAUUGCAGCAUGCAUGGUAACAAACCUGAAGAGAAAAGGAAAUUGAAAUCUAGAACACAGAAAUAAAAUCUAAUAAAUAUUAAUUAACAUUGCAUAAUGAGAAGAUAUACUGAAGACUAAAGACAAGCUGCACAAGAAUAAGCCUCAGUGGGCAGCAUCUCUGGCCAUCAGGAAAGGCGAUAGGAUAGGAGCUGAGCAAAACAGAGCAGCCAGGGCACAGCCCCACAGCAGCAGAGCAAGGUGAGCAGGAAACCUCCAGAGACAGCCACCACAUCCAGCCUAGAGUCCACAUCACAGGACAAGGUCACUGUGAUGAUACAGCUCUGCCAGGGAGGGACAGAGUCAGCCCUCACACGCCAGGAUCAGUUCCAGAAGUUGCCAGGCAGGUCCACAGCACUGCAGCAGUCCAGGGUGAAGUCUGAAGGUCAGGGCCUGAAUCGAGGAGCUCAGUAGCCACGUGCAGGUAUGACCAACACUGAACUAGAGCAGCACUCCUCCAGCAGUGCUGUCCACACCACUGAAAGCCGAAGGCUCAGCUUAAAAACAGGUCCUGGGCCUAUGGACAAGAAGUGUGAGUGGAGGUUCCAGCUGAGGCUGGUCAGAGCCCUUAAAGCCUAUUGGUGCCUUGAGGGUUCUGACACCAAGAGGACACAAACACAGUGACCUUGACUUUCUGUAAAGCCUUUAAAAUGUACCAUCUACCUUCAGAAUAUGAAAAUCCACUUUACAACUAAUUGUUACAUUUGGCACAAAUAAGUAUCACACCAGCCAAUUUAAAAUUAAUUUGGUGUGCAGCAAGAAUGCUUCAAAGCAUGCUAAAAAAUGGAGCACAUAUCAAAUGACACUGCCAUCAGGAUGACACUAGUAACUGAAACCGCAUACAAAUACAAGUUUUAGCCAUCUGUUUUCUUUUGUGGCCUCUCUGUGAACAUUACAAGCAUACAUACUCUGCUGUGUUCCCUGUGCCAGCUGAGUGCUCCUACUGUCCCACCACAUGGGGUUUCUGCUUGCUGGUCUGGCUGUGAGCUAACCCCACAAGAGCAGGAUUGUUUCCUUUCUUUAACAUGUGCCUGAAAUGCUGCUGCUUCCCUGCCUUAGAAGAGAUUUUCAACACAGAGCACUUUUUAGUAGCUUUUCUCCCUGCAUUGCUUUAGGGAUCAUGGAGUUAGUCUUUGUGAAUAAUACCUCUAAAAGAUACUUAUGAACAUUAAUAUUGUCAUUUUGAAUGCAGGGUUUGCAGAGUGCCUAAGUAGGGUGUCUGCAUGUUAAAAAGGCACUUGGAGCAUGUGAAAGAUGAGGUAUUUUGUGCCAAAUUUCUUUUACAUUGAGUAGGCCUCAGGAAUAGCAAACUAAAACUUCCAUUAAUAUUUUUAUCAAAAAGUUCAUUAUUCUUUUAAGCCUUUUUUCUUUCUUUAUCUUUUUUAAGUUUGGGUAAGCCCUAGUUUGCCAAACUAAAAGUCUGCCCAGUAAUGCCAAACUAAAAGUUUCUCUGAUAUUUUCACCAAAAGCUUUCUAUUCGAAGUAUGUAAACUUUUUCUCUUCUUUUUCCUUCAACACUAAUAAAGGUCAUAUUGAUGCAUGCUGAAUCAACUAUAAGUAUUUCCUGUGAGUUGAAUUUUAUUUCCGAAGCUGCUGACCUGACUUCUGUGUAUGACUGGAUCAGAGAACCAUCUGGGAGACAUCUGUUAAGCUGUAGUAUCUCCCAGAAAGGGAACGUAUCCCACAGUUCAAAUGCAAAAAGCUGAGGUAACCUUCCACUUCUAUGCAAGUGUUCUUUAAUAAAUAGCAAGCAGUAAAUAAUAAAACACUGAGAAAGUUGCUUGGAUUCUGUCCAUAAUGGUGCAUAAGAUCCACUUAUUAAUUUGAUGACCUUGUAUUUGAAUACAAUAAACUAUAGCUCAACAUUUUUGUUGUGUAUCUGUCGCACUUUUUUGUAGUCACUGCUUUUAGCUAUCCCAACACCCUUCAAGAGAUUAGUAUUUCUUAAUAAAAACAUCCAGUUUUUAUUAAGAUA